AAAAAAAAAAAAAACAAAAAGAUUUGACCCAGGCAGGGCUCGAACCUGCAAUCUUCUGAUUAGAAGUCAGACGCCUUAUCCAUUAGGCCACAAGGCCACG